UUUUGUUUUCUGAGAAACACUCUGUUUUUCACUUCAUCUGAUCGUCACAAGUAGCUUCAGGCUACAGGCCGAGCUAGCUUCUUUCGGAAUUCAGUGAAAAAUAUCUCCAAACAUAGGCGUUUCCUUAGUUCAGAGGUCACAGUUGGAAGGAAUUAUCGGUUUCUGUAUCCUGCAUUACAGGCCAAGGAAGACAACAAGAGGCUAAUUUGUUCAGUUGCCACUGAACCCUUGCCUAAGCAAGUUGAAGAGUCCAAAAUGGAUACACCAAAAGAAAUCUUUUUGAAGGAUUACAAGUUGCCAGAUUACUAUUUUGACACGGUGGAUUUAAAUUUUUCACUGGGUGAGGAGAAAACAAUUGUUAGUUCAAAAAUAACCGUUUGCUCCAGAGUUGAAGGUUCUUCUUCCCCGCUGGUUUUGGAUGGCCAUGAUCUAAAGUUAAUUUCAAUCAAGGUCAAUAGUGAGGAACUAAAGGAUAAAGAUUAUCAUUUGGACUCACGCCGAUUGACAAUUUCGUCACCACCUACUGGUACCUUUGCGUUAGAAAUCGUUACUGAGAUAUAUCCUCAGAAGAACACAUCAUUGGAGGGGCUUUAUAAGUCAUCUGGGAAUUUCUGCACUCAAUGUGAAGCAGAGGGUUUUCGCAAAAUUACAUUCUAUCAGGAUCGCCCUGAUAUAAUGGCAAAGUAUACAUGCCGGAUUGAAGCUGAUAAAUCAUUAUACCCAGUACUUCUAUCUAAUGGGAACCUCAUAGAACAAGGAGAUCUUGAGGGUGGUAAGCAUUAUGUUUUUUGGGAGGAUCCCUUCUACUUGUUUGCCUUGGUUGCUGGACAGUUGGAGAGCAGGGAUGACAUUUUUGUUACCCGGUCUGGUCGAAAGGUGUCACUAAGAAUUUGGACCCCAGCCCAAGACCUACCCAAGACAGCACAUGCCAUGUUUGCACUUAAAGCAGCAAUGAAAUGGGAUGAGGAUGUUUUUGGUCUUGAAUACGAUUUGGAUCUCUUUAAUAUUGUUGCUGUUCCAGAUUUUGACAUGGGGGCUAUGGAGAACAAAAGUCUAAAUAUUUUCAAUUCCAAGCUUGUUUUGGCAUCUCCAGAAACUGCUUCAGAUGCGGAUUAUGCUGCAAUUUUGGGAGUCAUUGGCCAUGAGUAUUUCCACAACUGGACUGGAAACAGAGUGACUUGUCGAGACUGGUUCCAGCUCAGUUUAAAGGAAGGUCUUACUGUAUUCCGGGA
rnacentral:misc_RNA from 1 species